UAUAUAUAUAUAGCAUCCACAUGCCAAUUUAUAUAUCUAUAUAUAAAUAAUACACAUUUUUAACAAUUUUUGCUUUCCUUUUCAUUCCUUUCUCAUAGUAAAAAUGCCUAUUUAGUGGACAGGAAAAUGUUACUUUUAGAAAUCUGAUGCUCCUGAUUUAAAAAGACCUUUGUGGUUUUAAAUGUUUUGUUUUAAUCAGAAAUCAAUUUCCAUCUACCCUUUAAAGUGAUACCUUAUCUGUCCUAUGCUUAUGAACUGCUUAAUUUCAUACUCCUGGGAGGUAUUCUUUCUCUCUGAUAGUAAAGAGCUUAUUAACUUUCAUUUAUUAGGAGAAUUUAAUUUCUUUCCUGUUGCUAAAUUUAAGAAAAUAUUUGAAGAAUGAUUUAAAAGUAAUGUUAAGGUUGGUUUGCUUUUUUUUUUUAAUUGGGCAAUAGAAGAUAAAAUCUGGAAAUCAUGACAGUAGCCAACCUUGGAAUUUUCAUAUGGUUAUUUUAAAAUGAAAAUAAACUGAAGAUUAAGACAAUAAUUCUAUUUAAGUAUACAGUUCACAUAUUCCAACUCGUUGCAUUCUUGCCUUAAAUUUAGUAACUCCAUUAAGAUAUUCUAAGAUUUUUCCAGACAUUUCAAAUACAGAUACAUAUAUACUAUGAAAUAUAUUAAAUAUAUAAUUUGUACUGUUUGUAACACAAAAUGAUUAUAACUUAAGUCAAUGUUGUUGUCACCUUUAAUAUAUAGUGCCUUGGGUUAUCUGUCUUUUGUUUCCAUUCCUUGAAAUUUUUGCUUAUUGAGGAAUUUGGGGAAAAAAAAUCAUUUGUUAUUAAGUUCUUAACAUUGUGAAUGAAGCAGGUAAAUAGAAAAAAUAUUAAAAAUUUACCAAUUUCAAAGCUUCAAACCGUUUAAAAGUGCAAUGAUUUUAAAUCUAACAGAAACUACAGAAGCAUGUGGUCUUACUUUUUUGGGAUUUUGUAAAACUAAGUAACUCAUCAGAAUAAAAUAUAACAAUAAAACUUAAUUUCACCCCCUACAGAAAAGUCAAUAGAGAUGUGUAACGUUACUUGUGUCAGGGUUUGAGAGAACCAGACCUGUGGUACUGUUACACAGCAUGUCCUAUAAUAAAAAAUGAGGUUUAUGCUUUCUUGCUCAGCAGAUCAACUCAUUAUUUAUUAUGCAAUUUUCUUGAUCUAUUACAAUUUAGAACUGACAGUUUCUGGGAACCUCUCAUUUCUUAUAUGUAAUGCAAAUAAAUAUCACUUUUACUACCCCAUAUAUAAUUACAAAUUGAUUUUCAAGUUGGAUCAUUUAGCUUCACUUUUCAUUGUCUAAUGUGGCCUUAUAAUGCUAAAUACUGAGUCUGUUGAGAAACUAGAGAGUAAAACAAUUGAUUUUUUAAUAUAAUUGUCUGUGGUCAAUUACCAUAGAAGUGGGGGUGUGUGUAUUUCCGCCUUGUAGGACAAACAGUAAUUUCCAUGAAGGAAUCUGUAGAAGAAUGGAGAGUAAGUCAAGUCCAUUAACACUUCUGAUGCCUCGAAGCAGAUGUCUCUGUUUUUAACUCCUCCAGUUCUUCUGUGUAUUUGACAAGGAGAGUUGGGCAUUUUCAAAACCCUACAAAGAGACAUCCUGUCUGCCUAAUUGGAUAACUAAACUUUUGCCAAACAUCUCCCAAGCCCCUUGGCCUCUAGGCUUUGCUGUAAAUGAUUCAGGGAUCUUGGGCAGAAUUGGGCAUAAAGUUUAUGUACAGGAGAACUGACAGCUCAGACAAAUCUCCUUGGCCAGGUGUGUUUGGAGAUCUGUGAUCUCACAUUCAUCUGUCUCUUCCUUCUGAUCGGCUUUUCUUCACUGGUACAUUUUCAUCAGCUUUUCUUCUUAAACUUAACCUGUGUUGCAGUGGUGGCUCAUCCCACUCUGCCCAGGCAGAGACCAGACUGGACCUACCUUCAGCCCUUCCUGAUAUUCCCAGUACUUUCCUCUGUGCUUCCUGGCACUGUGCACUGUGCCGCCCACACACCCUGGCACAGCUGAUUUCAGAUUGCUUUUUUUUUUAUACCUCAUUCAUAGGUAUGUGGUCAGAAUGAUGACCACAUCAUUCUGAGAAAAUGCCCUGGGAAAGCAAAGUUAUGCUCCACUGCUGCAAUGCUGCUACACUGUUUUAUCUCUGACUCUUUGUAAAUAUUGUAGAGGGUUAAGGUUUAAGUAACUCAAACUUCAUUAUCUCUGCUAAGAGGUCUUUAUCAGAAAGGUAACUAAAUUCAUGUGAGAGGAAAUGAAUUUCCUUGCAAAAAUCCAAUACAUCCAUUUUCACUGGGAAUCAAAGAGGAAGAAGUAAAAUCAAAGUGUUUCCAGAUUGAGAGAAACAGUGACUGUAGGUUUUGGGAAAUAAAGGUACUUGACAAAGGACACUGGUUUUUUGCUUUCUUACCCGUGGGGACUGAGCCUGUGUACGUCAAGCCACUUCUACAAGGUGCCAACAGCUGGGUGAAAGGGAAUAUGACAGCAGUCAACUACUCCUGUAUGCCAUUGGGUUGUGCAUCUUUCCUUGGUGAUGUUUUUAUUUCUGAUGCAUAUUGCAAUAAUUCUUCAUUCUUAUAUAUUUGCUAUUAAAGAUUUUGUAAAGCGUGAUUGGAGACUAUUCUAAAGCAUUUGUGGCUACUAAUGACCUGCUGACUGGUGCCUGGGACUUGAGACAAUGUACUAAUCAAUAUUUGCUUAAAAAGGAGUGUGGUUUGUAGUGGUUUUACUAUUAGUUAUAAGAAAUAACAGUUUUGUCUUGUCAAAUUUAGAAAUAAAAAAUACUUAUUUUUAUCAAUGUUGUUGUAGAAGAAUUUAUAUUUAGCUUCUAUUUUAAAUUUAUUAGAAUCAAACCUGUACUCGAUCAUAUCCAGUCUUGACUGCUUAAUUGAAAUCAGUGAGGCAGAACCUGAGCUGUUGUUCAUUUAUAUUUCUUCACUUACAUAAUUUGGAUUACAGUAACUGGUAGUAUUUUGCCAUCUGGAUUCAUCUACAUCAAAACCCAUUUUUCAGAAUUCUUCAGGGCAGAUUAAAAAAGAAAGAGGAACGAUAUCAAUAUUUAAUGCCAAUUAACUAAGAUUUACUGGCCUGCAGCAAAAGAAAAGGUCGAAUUAUGCAAAUUAGCUGGGAAAGAUGCCCAGACAGAUUGUGCCAAUUUUAUCUGUGUUCUUCAGCCUUACAACUGGACCCAUGUUUAUGUCUGUGGCACAGGAGCAUUUCACCCUCUGUGUGGAUACAUUGAACUUGGAACUCACUAAGAAGUAAUUUAACUUUC